rnacentral:rRNA from 1 species
GAUAAACGCUGGCGGCGUGCCUAACACAUGCAAGUCGAACGAAGCUCCCGGACUUGAGUUUUUCGGACAAGGGAAAGGGAUGACUUAGUGGCGGACGGGUGAGUAAUGCGUGAGCAACCUGCCUUUCAGAGGGGGACAACAGUUGGAAACGACUGCUAAUACCGCAUAAUGUAUUCGAGUGGCAUCACUUGGAUACCAAAGAUUUUAUCGCUGAAAGAUGGGCUCACGUCUGAUUAGCUAGUUGGUGAGGUAAUGGCUCACCAAGGCUGCGAUCAGUAGCCGGACUGAGAGGUCGAACGGCCACAUUGGGACUGAGAUACGGCCCAGACUCCUACGGGAGGCAGCAGUGGGGAAUAUUGGGCAAUGGGCGCAAGCCUGACCCAGCAACGCCGCGUGAAGGAAGAAGGCUUUCGGGUUGUAAACUUCUUUUGGCUAGGGACGAAACAAAUGACGGUACCUGCAGAAUAAGCUCCGGCUAACUACGUGUCCACGCAGCCGGGUAAACCG